rnacentral:tRNA from 1 species
GCCCAGAUGGUGGAACUGGUAGACACGCUAUCUUGAGGGGGUAGUGGCCAACGGCUGUGCGGGUUCGAGUCCCGCUCUGGGCACCA